rnacentral:rRNA from 1 species
GUGUCAGCAGCCGCGGUAAUACAGAGGGCGCGAGCGUUGUCCGGAAUCACUGGGCGUAAAGGGCGCGUAGGUGGCGGCAUAAGGCUGUGGUGAAAGUCUGGGGCUCAACUCCAGAUCGGCCGCGGCGACUGUGUCGCUUGGGCACCGUAGAGGCAGAUGGAAUUCCGGGUGUAGCGGUGGAAUGCGUAGAGAUCCGGAAGAACACCAGUGGCGAAGGCGGUCUGCUGGGCGGUGAGCUCGCGAGAGCUCAAUAGCCGACACUGAGGCGCGACAGCGUGGGGAGCAAACAGGAUUAGAAACCCGGGUAGUCC